ensembl:lncRNA
CUUUCAUCAAGAGGCUCUUUAGUUCUUCACUUUCUGCCAUAAGGGUGGAGCCAUGGGCUGAUUCUUUCUCCUACUGCGGUGGCAUCAAGUUUCCCUAAGGGCAAGAACACAGUCUAAAGAUGAGGAGACUGACCCCAACACCUCCCCAGUCACAUGGCAUCAGCCCCUAAAAUGCCCCCAAGUCCAUGCACAGAGGCCCUCCUGGUCACUGUUCCCAUAAGCAGGUCCUGGCUGUCAGUAGUGACAUGGCCAAAUUCUCAGCCUCAGCUUUGAGCUCACAGCAGAACCCCGAGGGGGCUGGCAUCUAGGACAAGGAUGCUUGGAGAGAGAGGGCAGGGAGUCAGAUGGAUUUGAAGUUUCUCAGACUUGUUCCCCUGCCACCAGCUGGAGAAGAUGCUCUGCUUUUCUGGGACUCCUGUGAUGAGAUCAGACCUACCUGGCAAUGGUCUUCCAUUCUCAGCCCAGGAUGCGGAGCCGUCAUUAGGCCUGUGCAGCCCAAGAGAUAGAGGCUGCCCUGGGAGGUCUGGAACCUGGGCUCCUCCACAGCGGUGGAACCUCGGCACUUCCUGCCUCCCUCACCUUGAUCUCCACUUUUCUGAAGUUNNNNNNNNNNNNNNNNNNNNNNNNNNACUCCUUUCCUGGUCACUGUAGAUCGCUGGAGAGGGAAGGGGCGGGGGGAUGGGGGGUUAGGGUUGGGGGGUGCCGGGGGUGGGGUGGUGGUGUCAGGGCAAUAGGGUUCAGGGCAGCUUAGUGGUCUGGAAGGAAGUGGGAGUUUAAAAACAGGUUCUGGACCCCUUAGACCGGGGUCUGAAUCCUGAGCAGGACCUAUGCCGUUGUGUAAGGCCCAUGCUCCCAAGAUUCCCAGUUGGUUUUACGGCCUGCCGUUGCUGUCUUGAAAUUCUUAAUUUUCUGAGUAAGGGGCCCAGCUUUUUCCCGUUGCGCUGGGUCCCACAGAUUGCACAGCCAGCCCUGCUACCCAUUAUGAGCCAUGUGCCCUUGGCAAGUGACUUCUCCUCAUUGAUCCUCAGUUUUCUCAUCUGCAAAACGGAGCCAUGCUUCCACCUUUGGCAAGGAUUGUGCUGAGAAUGCAAACAGAGACUCCAGGCCAAGAGCCAGGCAGCAGUAAGACCACAGCAGGUGUCGUGCCCUGGAAAUUGUGGCUGUCUUUCUAUCGGGCUCUGUGGGGCCCUACAUAGUUGUGUCUGACUCUUUGCGACCUUUUGGACUGUAGCCCCCAAGGCUCCUCUGUCCAUGGAAUUUUCCAGGCAAGAAUGCUGGGGCAGGUUGCCAUCUCCUUCUCCAGGGGAAUCUUCUCGACCCAGGUAUCAGACCUGUGUCUCCUCUGUCUCCCACAUUGCAGGCAAAUUCUUUAACCUUUGAGCCAUCCAGGAAGCCCCAUCUGUAUGGCCAGACAGGGAGAAAUAUCUCUGGAGCCACAUGCAGUCUGUCUCCCAGUCUUGUUCACGGGUGGGACAUUUCAGGCCAAAGAUAAACUCCUCCCUGGGAAGUGAAUGGUCCCACCACCUGCGCAACCCUCUGCCUAUGGCUAUACUGGGUCAAGUGGUUUAGGGCCCUGUGUUGCUGGGAGAUGAGGUUACAGAGGAGGGUGAGCCUGGGAAGAAAUGAGGGUCUGGUGAGGCUGUUCCAGCAGCUGCUUUCAGCAGAAGGCGGGUCAGUCAUGUGCCCUUAAUAAAUGAAGGCUUGACGCCCAGGGGUGGGGGCGCUGAUGGAGCCUCCCCCAGGGCCGCCUCCCUCAGUCUAUACCCUUGGAGGACCCCAUGUCCCAGCAAAACUCAACCUUCCAGAUGCUUCUAGAAUCCCAACUUCAUAGCUCAGCAAUUUCCCAAUGGUGAGAUCUUGGGCAACUUACUUAACCUCUCUGGGCCUCAGUUUCCCCAUCUGCAAAAUAGCAGUUAAAUGAUCCCCAACGUGGGAAGUGCUUACAAGUGUGCAGGAAGCAUUAGACAUUGCCACGGCUGGCCUGCCCGCCUCCCCUCCACUCUGAGCCCAUCAGCAGGCUCUGAAACGGCAGUCUGGCCAUGCCUCUCCUUUAGGUGCUUAUCGCCUUCAGGAUAAAGCCCAUACUCCUUAUUCCAUCUUCUCUGAGCCUCCGGACAGUGAGCCCUGCCCAGAGUCCAUUUCCCCUUCUAGAGUCAACAGCCUCAGGAUUUGCCCCGGGAAACCUUCAGCCCCCACGGCAGAACCCAUGAUGUGACUGUCAGUCAAGCCAAGGGGCGGGCACAUGACCCAGGCUCAGCCAAUUGGGCACAUUCUCUAAGGACUUGGCCUCUUAAGGAUGGAGAAACUUAUGGAAAGAGGUUGAAGGAUUCAUUUGGGAGGUUAUACCCUGAGUUCCUGCUGUCUGGAUCUCCAGGGCUGCCCUGGGACCUGGUCCUCUCUGAACCUGGCUCUUCAGCCUUUCUUCUGAUUCUGUGCAA